rnacentral:lncRNA from 1 species
GCAGGCACCUGGGAGUUAUGAAUUUUAAAGUGAUCAUUUUCUUUCAGCCAUGCUGGACAAUGGGCAUCUCCUUUUGACUCACUUUCACAGCUUUGAGAGGCUCUCAGAUCAGCCACAUUCCAAUCGGACUGGAGUCAGAUCAGAGCUGUGCUGGACCGCAUCAAGGUCUCGCACAGAAAGACAAGGAGCAGAUGGCCGGCACCGAGCCCUCCUCCCCCUUUCAGCGUGCAAAGGCAGGCAAUGUGGGAAAGCGUUCGCCCGGCAUUGCCUAUUGAUCCCUGAAUAGAACCACCGCAUGCCACCAGCCUGUAGUUAGAAAGCUGCUCUGCUCAAUAAGAGCCCAAAUGAAUGACUACAUUCUUCAAAGAGACAAACUAAGAAUACACACUUUCAGUCAACUAAAUGACCUAAUACUGAAAAUACAAUGGCUUCAGAAAAGACAGACUAUUUACAGAACUCUAUUCGUGAAACAGACAUUAGAGACAAUCCAAUCCGAUCUCUGUUACAUUCAACCCUUAGAAAUAAGAGUAUGAAAGAGAAAAUACAUACUCUGGAAUCCAUUGGUCCUACCCCACUUAUUCAGAAUAAUUCAAUUAAAAACAACAUACACCAUAUAGGAAUGUCAACAGUGAAGAUGCUGUAUCAUAUCAGAUAAUCUCUUCAUGCCCCCUUUUUUCCUUGGGGAUUUGAUGUUUAUCUGGUGGCUCUCUUUCCAUUUGAAAGAUUUUCUCUGAUAUUUGCAAGUUAUUAGCCAUCUGAGAACUACAAGACAUUCAUAGAGUGAUGGCCUAAAACCAAUGAGAAAUCCCGUGCACAUGGGCGGGCACAUGCCCUGGAUUCUCUCUAGAUUGAAUGGGGAAAGUCUACUGCUUCUUGGUGAACUCCUAAGUUCAUGGAAGUUUUUUUUGUUUGUUUUUGUUUUUUCUGGGGCUGUUUAAUGCCUCCAGAAUAGAAUCUACCACUCUUUCUCACUGGGGUAUAAGCCUGGCCCCUGACCUUCUCAAGAGAGAGAAGCAAGGCAUCCUACCAGGGCCAGCUACAUACAUUGCAAGGCCCAGUACAAAAUGGAAAUGUGGACCCCUUGUUCCAAAAGCAGGGGAAAUGGCACUAAUGUUACUAAAAUAUAAAACUUUUUCUUUUCUUCUGCAGUCUCUUUCUUGAAUUGUCAUAGUGUUUUGUUUUUACUAUUUAAAGUUAUUCUAAGUUUAAAAAGAUUAAAAAUUUAAAUAAUUAGCAUGAAUUUUUCAGUGUUCAUCUUUAUGUUGUGCAAUGCCAGUUUUAAAUGCAAAU